GACGAACGCUGGCGGCGUGCCUAAUACAUGCAAGUCGAGCGAAGUUUUUCUGGUGCUUGCACUAGAAAAACUUAGCGGCGAACGGGUGAGUAACACGUAAAGAACCUGCCUCAUAGACUGGGACAACUAUUGGAAACGAUAGCUAAUACCGGAUAACAGUAUUUCUCGCAUGAGAGAUAUUUAAAAGUUGGUUAUGCUAACACUAUGAGAUGGCUUUGCGGUGCAUUAGCUAGUUGGUGGGGUAAAGGCCCACCAAGGCGACGAUGCAUAGCCGACCUGAGAGGGUGAUCGGCCACACUGGGACUGAGACAGGCCCAGACUCCUACGGGAGGCAGCAGUAGGGAAUCUUCCGCAAUGGGCGAAAGCCUGACGGAGCAACGCCGCGUGAGUGAAGAAGGAUUUCGGUUCGUAAAGCUCUGUUGUUAGGGAAGAAUGGAUAUGUAGUAACUAUACAUGUAAGAGACGGUACCUAACCAGAAAGCCACGGCUAACUACGUG
rnacentral:rRNA from 1 species